AUUGAACGCUGGCGGCAGGCCUAACACAUGCAAGUCGAGCGGAUGAAGGGAGCUUGCUCCUGGAUUCAGCGGCGGACGGGUGAGUAAUGCCUAGGAAUCUGCCUGGUAGUGGGGGAUAACGUCCGGAAACGGGCGCUAAUACCGCAUACGUCCUGAGGGAGAAAGUGGGGGAUCUUCGGACCUCACGCUAUCAGAUGAGCCUAGGUGGGAUUAGCUAGUUGGUGGGGUAAAGGCUUACCAAGGCGACGAUCCGCAACUGGUCUGAGAGGAUGAUCAGGCACACUGGAACUGGGACACGGUCCAGACUCCUACGGGAGGCAGCAGUGGGGAAUAUUAGACAAUGGGCGAAAGCCUGAUCCAGCCAUGCCGCGUGUGUGAAGAAGGUCUUCGGAUUGUAAAGCACUUUAAGUUGGGAGGAAGGGCAGUAAGUUAAUACCUUGCUGUUUUGACGUUACCAACAGAAUAAGCACCGGCUAACUUCGUG
rnacentral:rRNA from 1 species